AGCGGCCUCGCCGCGCGGUUCGUUCUUUCUUGCGAGCAUGCAAAGCAAAGGUCUUCGCGAGUGGGUCUUCUUUUUAGGUUUACCCUCUGCUACAUGGAGCCCAGCCUUGAGAAGCAGCAGGAGGUAGCAUGCUGGAGGAGGAAGACCACCCCCCCCAUGCCAAAAGCUGCAGGUGGCGGUUUGCUGCCUGGCCAAAGAUGUGUGGACCUGACCGUAGCCGCAGGUGUGGAGAACUGAUGGCGAUGGACUUCUAGGAGUCUGAGAAAGGAGGUCACCCUUCUGGGGGUGCAUCUUGGGAAGUGAUACGGGCAUCCACUUGUUGCUGAAGCCGGAUUGGGUUUGGGGGCAAAGGAGAGUGAGACGACUUCUAGACCGCCAGCAAAGCAGGGCCUCUGCUUCCUCUCCCUUGGCCUCACUGAGAAAGGGCAGGUGCCUACAGUGUCUGUCGGGAAAGUGCUCCUGUGUGCUUGAACCGGUUAAGACGCUUUGGAUCCUGCCAUCUACACUUGAGCGGCUGGGCGCAGAGACUAGGAACCCGUUGCAACAACAACAAAAUGUAGACCUGUCUGAGGUGAGGCUGGCAUGCUGGCCACUCCCCAUGUGCUUCUGUUGCUCUAAAUAAAAAUCAACUGCUGGCAAUAAAGUUUUUCAGCCAA